rnacentral:rRNA from 1 species
UACGUAGGGGGCGAGCGUUGUCCGGAAUCAUUGGGCGUAAAGCGCGUGUAGGCGGCUCGGUAAGUCUGCUGUGAAAGUCCAGGGCUCAACCCUGGGAUGCCGGUGGAUACUGUCGAGCUCGAGUCCGGAAGAGGCGAGUGGAAUUCCUGGUGUAGCGGUGAAAUGCGCAGAUAUCAGGAGGAACACCAUGGCGAAGGCAGCUCGCUGGGACGUAACUGACGCUGAGACGCGAAAGCGUGGGGAGCAAACAGG